GCUCUCUAGGGUGACAUGUUUAACAUAUGAAGCCCCGGAGAGCCGCAGUGAAUUGGUGGUGGCGACUGUUUACUAAAAACAUAGGUCUGUGCGAAGUCCUAAAGACGACGUAUACGGACUGACGCCUGCCCGGUGCUGGAAGGUUAAAAGGAGGAGUCAGCGCAAGCAAAGCUCCGAAUUGAAGCCCCAGUAAACGGCGGCCGUAACUAUAACGGUCCUAAGGUAGCGAAAUUCCUUGUCGGGUAAGUUCCGACCUGCACGAAUGGCGUAACGAUCUCCACACUGUCUCGGCCAGAGACUCGGUGAAAUUGCAGUCGCGGUGAAAAUUCCGUGUACCCGCAGAAAGACGGAAAGACCCUGUGCACCUUUACUAUAGCUUGACAUUGGAUUUUGGGCCUGCAUGUGUAGGAUAGGUGGGAGGCUGUGAACCCUGUACGCCAGUAUGGGGGGAGCCAUCGUUGAAAUACCACCCUUGCAUGUUUAAGAUCCUAACUUCUUCCGGUCAUCCCGGAGAAAGACAGUGUCUGGCGGGUAGUUUGACUGGGGCGGUCGCCUCCUAAAGUGUAACGGAGGCAUGCAAAGGUUCCCUCAGCCUGAUCGGAAACCAGGCGCUGAGUGCAAACGCAUAAGGGAGCUUGACUGUAAGAGAGACAUCUCGAACAGGAACGAAAGUUGGCGUUAGUGAUCCGGUGGUCCCGAAUGGAAGGGCCAUCGCUCAUUGGAUAAAAGGUACGCCGGGGAUAACAGGCUGAUCGCAUCCAAGAGUUCACAUCGACGAUGCGGUUUGGCACCUCGAUGUCGGCUCAUCACAUCCUGGGGCUGAAGCAGGUCCCAAGGGUACGGCUGUUCGCCGUUUAAAGUGGUACGCGAGCUGGGUUUAAAACGUCGUGAGACAGUUUGGUCCCUAUCUUCUGUGGGCGAAGGAGAAUUGAGAGGGCCUGUCCCUAGUACGAGAGGACCGGGAUGGACGCACCCCUGGUGAUCCUGUUGUCGCGCCAGCGGCACAGCAGGGUAGCUA
rnacentral:rRNA from 1 species